ACAAUCAACUUGUCUUUCUGUACUUGCAGUUUGUUACACUGUAUAAAUCAUUGGACUUGCCCUCGGACUGGGAUCAUGAACGGUGCCAGGAGCGAACUUCAGCCUCCAGACCAGCCGCCGAUCGAGCAUUCCCCGACAGGCAGAAGGUACUUGAAAUUCGUUACACUAUAUAAGAGAGAGUUUUGUUCUGAACCGUUGGACUACCCUCGGACCGGGAUCACGGGUGGUGCCAGAAAUGAACCUAAGCCUCUAGACCAGCUGUCGAUGGAGGAUUCUCCAACGGGCAAAAAGAUGUGACUUAUUCUUUUUUUCUUCCCUUCUUUUUUCAUGUUUUUUUUUAUUUACUGAAUAAAUGUUCAUAUUAAGUAAA